GCCAAUCCAUCCCAGCUUGAUGAUGAAAGAGGAUGGUGGUUGAACCAAUUUGCAAGUAGCCUAGCAAUAAGCACAUUAUUAUUCAAUGUAUUAAGUGUGGAGUCAAUUGAGGGGCCUAGCCUAUAUUUCAUGAAGCCACUAGAACACUGUUGCUGACAGAGUCUGGCAGUAACCAAGAACAAUCAGAGGCAGAAGAUCCCUCUUUCAGCUGCUGCUGACAACUGCAUAUAACAGGUAGAUAGGCCAGUGGCAAAGGAGUUGUGGCUGGUUCGAAUCCUGGGUCUGGCGCUGAAGAAAAAAAAACAGGCAGAAUUGAUCUGACAACUGGAGGGCUGCUGGAUUCACAUCCUCAAAAGGUUCUCCUACUGUUUGGUCCUUGAGCAAGGUCCUUAACCACACAAGAUGUGCUAGUCUCAACUGUAUGUGUCUGCUUUUUGGGGGAGUUGAGAACAGAGCAGAAGACACAUUUUUGUUGUUCAUUGUAACUAAAUGGACAAAGUAUAUUCUAUUAUAAAGAAGUCAGCCAUUCAAACAAAGAGAUGCCUUCCACCAGUGCAUAUUUCCAAAUGAUGUUUGCAUAUGACAAUAAAUUCUAAAACUAUGCUGG
rnacentral:lncRNA from 1 species